UACGUGGGGUGCGAGCGUUGUCCGGAAUUAUUGGGCGUAAAGAGCUUGUAGGCGGCUUGUCGCGUCUGCUGUGAAAGCCCGGGGCUUAACCCUGGGUCUGCAGUGGGUACGGGCAGGCUAGAGUGUGGUAGGGGAGACUGGAAUUCCUGGUGUAGCGGUGGAAUGCGCAGAUAUCAGGAGGAACACCGAUGGCGAAGGCAGGUCUCUGGGCCAUUUCUGACGCUGAGAAGCGAAAGCGUGGGGAGCGAACAGGAUUAGAACGGUACGUC
rnacentral:rRNA from 1 species